rnacentral:rRNA from 1 species
ACGAACGCUGGCGGCGUGCCUAAUACAUGCAAGUCGAGCGGACCGACGGGAGCUUGCUCCCUUAGGUCAGCGGCGGACGGGUGAGUAACACGUGGGUAACCUGCCUGUAAGACUGGGAUAACUCCGGGAAACCGGGGCUAAUACCGGAUGCUUGAUUGAGCCGCAUGGUUCAAUUAUAAAAGGUGGCUUUCAGCUACCACUUACAGAUGGACCCGCGGCGCAUUAGCUAGUUGGUGAGGUAACGGCUCACCAAGGCGACGAUGCGUAGCCGACCUGAGAGGGUGAUCGGCCACACUGGGACUGAGACACGGCCCAGACUCCUACGGGAGGCAGCAGUAGGGAAUCUUCCGCAAUGGACGAAAGUCUGACGGAGCAACGCCGCGUGAGUGAUGAAGGUUUUCGGAUCGUAAAACUCUGUUGUUAGGGAAGAACAAGUACCGUUCGAAUAGGGCGGCACCUUGACGGUACCUAACCAGAAAGCCACGGCUAACUACGUGCCAGCAGCCGCGGUAAUACGUAGGUGGCAAGCGUUGUCCGGAAUUAUUGGGCGUAAAGCGCGCGCAGGCGGUUUCUUAAGUCUGAUGUGAAAGCCCCCGGCUCAACCGGGGAGGGUCAUUGGAAACUGGGGAACUUGAGUGCAGAAGAGGAGAGUGGAAUUCCACGUGUAGCGGUGAAAUGCGUAGAGAUGUGGAGGAACACCAGUGGCGAAGGCGACUCUCUGGUCUGUAACUGACGCUGAGGCGCGAAAGCGUGGGAGCGAACAGG